UCCUCGGAGAAGAAGUGGGAGCCGGAGAGCUGAGCACAGCCUGGGUGAAAACCUUCAGGCCUGGGCGUCUGAUAAGGGCUCGAGGCAACCUGGACACAGCCCCUAAACUCGAGGACGAAAGGCUAAUGAGGAAGAGAAAUCCACGUCUUCUCACACAACUAAAAGAGACAGUAACUCCCGCCGUGGCACCCGUUUGGGCUUGAGUGCUGUGAAGGAGCGCUUGUCCGAUGCCAGGGGCCUUUUGAGGGAACGGUGGAGCUGGGGGUCCGAAGAAACGGUUUGUUCACACAAGCCCGGCGUCAGAUCUGAUUAUCUUUUCACGGGAACAGCCAAGGACCUUCCAGUAAAAUUAGCCAAGACGACACUGACGGCAGUGCCGAUCCAACAGACGUGAGACCAGACCCCCGAGAACAUCUUCUUCCACCCGAACCCCAAGAGAAGCCGAGUCACUUGAAUGAAGACGCUUGCAGAAAGUGAGUUGCUUAUUUCACUUUUAUUUUAAGGACCUCCGGGGC